UACGGGGGGAGCAAGCGUUGUUCGGAUUUACUGGGCGUAAAGGGCGCGUAGGCGGCCAGCACAAGUCAGUUGUGAAAUCUCCGAGCUUAACUCGGAAAGGUCAACUGAUACUGUGCGGCUAGAGUGCGGAAGGGGCAACUGGAAUUCUUGGUGUAGCGGUGAAAUGCGUAGAUAUUGGGUGGAACACCGGUGGCGAAAGCGGCUCUCUGGUCCGGAACUGACGCUGAGGCGCGAAAGCGUGGGGAGCAAACAGG
rnacentral:rRNA from 1 species